GCAAGUCCUGUUGAUUUGCAAAGUCCCAGUGAAGCCAAGUAAUUUAUCUUAACAUUAAAAAACAGAGGAUAAAACUGAGAAAUGGUACCACAAGAAUAAGACUAAGUUCUGAAAGGAAAAACAUUAAAUAAGGUGACUGUUGAUACCAAUGGAAGUGAACUUGAACUGCUGUCAAAGGUACCACAUAGUGUGAAAGACACCCAACAAAAAGAUAAAACUUCAUUAAGUAAAGGUAUGAUCCUUGUUUCAGUGAGGAAGAAACUGGCUAUACUUCACAACAGAGAGCAUUCAUUGUCAUUAAAUACAUUACAUGUGUCAGUUAUGCAGUGAAUCAAAAUGUCUUCACAGAAAACUACAGUAACCAUGCAUUUAAGUUCACCAUCUGGUGGCAAUAUGAAAAGUUUCAAAAGAAAGGAAAUGUGGCAAACAUUGCCAAAAUCAGUUGACAUCAGAAACGUUGAUCUGUGUGUAAGCUGCAUAUUCAUCAAGUUCUAUGAAGUCUGUGCAGCACCUAUCUAGGCAGUCUGGUCUCACCAUUGGCAGUAAACACAAAUGUGAGCAAGUGCAUAAGCAUCCAUUCAAACAGAACACAUACUGUUCAUGAGUGGCUACCUGUCAUUAGUUCAUUUGUAAUGCCUUAUU